rnacentral:rRNA from 1 species
GAGAGAGAGCUUGCUUUCUCAAGCGAGUGGCGAACGGGUGAGUAACGCGUGAGGAACCUGCCUCAAAGAGGGGGACAACAGUUGGAAACGACUGCUAAUACCGCAUAAGCCCACGGCUCGGCAUCGAGCAGAGGGAAAAGGAGCAAUCCGCUUUGAGAUGGCCUCGCGUCCGAUUAGCUAGUUGGUGAGGUAACGGCCCACCAAGGCGACGAUCGGUAGCCGGACUGAGAGGUUGAACGGCCACAUUGGGACUGAGACACGGCCCAGACUCCUACGGGAGGCAGCAGUGGGGAAUAUUGCACAAUGGGGGAAACCCUGAUGCAGCGACGCCGCGUGGAGGAAGAAGGUCUUCGGAUUGUAAACUCCUGUUGUUGAGGAAGAUAAUGACGGUACUCAACAAGGAAGUGACGGCUAACUACGUGCCAGCAGCCGCGGUAAAACGUAGGUCACAAGCGUUGUCCGGAAUUACUGAGUGUAAAGGGAGCGCAGGCGGGAAGACAAGUUGGAAGUGAAGUCCAUGGGCUCAACCCAUGAACUGCUUUCAAAACUGUUUUUCUUGAGUAGUGCAGAGGUAGGCGGAAUUCCUGGUGUAGCGGUGGAAUGCGUAGAUAUCGGGAGGAACACCAGUGGCGAAGGCGGCCUACUGGGCACC